CCUACGGGAGGCAGCAGUGAGGAAUAUUGGACAAUGGACGAAAGUCUGAUCCAGCUAUGCCGCGUGCAGGAUGACGGCCCUAUGGGUUGUAAACUGCUUUUAUACAGGAAGAAAAACUCCGACGUGUCGGAACUUGACGGUACUGUAAGAAUAAGGAUCGGCUAACUCCGUGCCAGCAGCCGCGGUAAUACGGAGGAUCCAAGCGUUAUCCGGAAUCAUUGGGUUUAAAGGGUCCGUAGGCGGUUUUUUAAGUCAGAGGUGAAAUCCUGCAGCUCAACUGUAGAAUUGCCUUUGAUACUGAAAGACUUGAGUUAUUGUGAAGUGGUUAGAAUGUGUGGUGUAGCGGUGAAAUGCAUAGAUAUCACACAGAAUACCAAUUGCGAAGGCAGAUCACUAACAAUAUACUGACGCUCAGGGACGAAAGCGUGGGUAGCGAACAGGAUUAGAUACCCUGGUAGUCCACGCCGUAAACGAUGGAUACUAGCUGUAUGUCUACUUCAGGUAGAUGUGUGGCUAAGCGAAAGUGAUAAGUAUCCCACCUGGGGAGUACGAUCGCAAGAUUGAAACUCAAAGGA
rnacentral:rRNA from 1 species